ACACGCUGGCGGCGUGCCUAACACAUGCAAGUCGUGCGAGAAAGCCCUUCGGGGGUGAGUACAGCGGCGGACGGGUGAGUAACACGUGAGUGAUCUACCCGGCGGCGGGGGACAACCCAGGGAAACCUGGGCUAAUACCGCAUACAGCGGAGGGAGUAGGUGCCCUUCGUGAAAGCUGGCCUCUCCAUGGAAGCUAGCGUCGCCGGAGGAGCUCGCGGCCUAUCAGCUAGUUGGUGGGGUAACGGCCUACCAAGGCUAUGACGGGUAGCUGACGUGAGAGCGUGAGCAGCCACACUGGGACUGAGACACGGCCCAGACUCCUACGGGAGGCAGCAGUGGGGAAUAUUGCGCAAUGGGCGAAAGCCUGACGCAGCGACGCCGCGUGGGGGAGGAAGGCCCUAGGGUUGUAAACCCCUGUCAGGUGGGACGAACCCCGGGUCGGUUAAUAAUCGGCUCGACUGACGGUACCACCAGAGGAAGCUCCGGCUAACUCCGUG
rnacentral:rRNA from 1 species